GAACGCCGUGUGAGGGGAAACUCUCGUGCACGGUGUGAGGCGGGGGAAAAUCUAGCGAUGACAUCAAAAGAUUACCUAUCGUCAU
rnacentral:ncRNA from 1 species